rnacentral:rRNA from 1 species
AUUGAACGCUGGCGGCAGGCCUAACACAUGCAAGUCGAGCGGAUGACGGGAGCUUGCUCCUUGAUUCAGCGGCGGACGGGUGAGUAAUGCCUAGGAAUCUGCCUGGUAGUGGGGGACAACGUUUCGAAAGGAACGCUAAUACCGCAUACGUCCUACGGGAGAAAGCAGGGGACCUUCGGGCCUUGCGCUAUCAGAUGAGCCUAGGUCGGAUUAGCUAGUUGGUGGGGUAAUGGCUCACCAAGGCGACGAUCCGUAACUGGUCUGAGAGGAUGAUCAGUCACACUGGAACUGAGACACGGUCCAGACUCCUACGGGAGGCAGCAGUGGGGAAUAUUGGACAAUGGGCGAAAGCCUGAUCCAGCCAUGCCGCGUGUGUGAAGAAGGUCUUCGGAUUGUAAAGCACUUUAAGUUGGGAGGAAGGGUUGUACGUUAAUACCGUGCAAUUUUGACGUUACCGACAGAAUAAGCACCGGCUAACUCUGUGCCAGCCGCCGCGGUAACAC